ACUUUGUAGACUAGGCUGGCCUUGACAUUUUUUUUUUAAAGAUUUAUUAUUAUAUCUAAGUACACUGUAGCUGUCCUCAGACACACCAGAAGAGGGCGUCAGAUCCCAUUACAGAUGAUUGUGAUCCACCAUGUGGUUGCUGGGAUUUGAACUCAGGACCUUUAGAAGAGCAGUCAGUGCUCUUAACCACUGAGCCAUCUCUCCAGCCCGUCAUUUUUUUUUUUAAUGUGUAAGUCUUGUUUUACAUCCGGGUAUGUGUGUGUACCACAUGAGUGCAGUUCCCAGGGAAACCAAAAGAGGGCGUCAGAUCCUCUGAAACUAUUAACCACCAUAUGGGUGCUGAGAACUGAACCAAGGUCCUCUAUAAGUGAGCAACAAGUACUUUUGAUCACUGGAUCAUCUCUCCAGCCCCCAUUAUUCAAUAUAUAAAUAAUAAAGAAGUACAGUGUCAGAUGUGGCACAGUAAAUAUACUGCUGGCCUAGAAUGUAAAGUCCUGGGUUUGAUUCCUAACACUUGUGAGGUGGAGAUAGGAGAAUUAAGUUCAGAAUCAUCUGCAGCUACAUACUAAGUCCAAACCUGAGGCUGGAGAGAUGGCUCAACAAUUAAGCAGGGGAGCCAUUGUCCUCUUCCAGCCUCUGUGGGCACUGCACACGUGUGCACAGACAUCAUACAUGCAGGCAUACACAUAAAAUACAUUUUUUUUUAAGUCUAAAGCCAACC
rnacentral:lncRNA from 1 species